CUCCGGUCCAUCCUGCUGCAGGAACCAUCUCCUCCACACCUUCACCACCUCAGCGCUGCUCCUGGAGGACUCCCUGGAAAGCAGCACUGAAUGGAUCAUCCUGGUGAAAUGAAAUAAACUAAAUUCAUUCCCUGCCGGUGAUCCCAGCCUAUGUGGUCUACCUGAUCUCUUCAGUCUCCAGUCAAGCUGCCUCCACUUCUCCGCCCUCUGAGCCCUGCCGGUCCCCCACAGGCCGCAUCGGAAAUCCUGCCACCGGCUCCAGUGGACUACACCUGCCUCGCCUGCUCUGGAGGAGCAUUCGUCUACAAGUGAUCUUCUGUAGUAUGUAUAAUAAAGACUGUCUGAACUAGCA